UUUUAAAAUCAAGGAUUAAAAACAAAUACAACAUAGAACUCUCCAGUAGGCAGAAUGGCAGAAAAAAGAGUAGUGGUUCUGUCACAGAACAUUUCGUGACAGUUUGGCUCAGAAAGAAUCAUGACAAUUUCUUUUGUUGUUGUUGUUAUUUGCCUCCCAACAGGAAACAAUGACACUUUCUUUAACACAAAAUAUUAUAUGAGCUGCUUAAAAACCAGCUUCUUCAAGCUUCUCAGUCUCACUCAUAACUUGUUCGUAGUAUAAUAAUUUCUGUGGGGAAGAUAGUUUAACUGAAGUAUAAUAUUUUUUGUGGGGAAGAUAGUUUAACUGAAAAAGAAAAUAUAUUACCAAAUUUUAAAUACUGAAAACAAGGACUUUUGUUCAAAAACUUUAUUUGCCUUCUGCUCAUUAUAAUUACAUAUAAUCUUCAAGGAGUUUAAAUGACAACCAAAUCCAAGGCCUGGCCCCCAAGAACACAGUGAUAGGAUUCAGCAUUUGGUGUUUCUAAUUAUACAAUGACUACAUAUAUAUCAUAGACUUGCUCUCAUCCAUUCUCCACCAUAAAGUUUCAAUUUCCUCUUAAAAUAUGGCAGUCAAGUUUAGUCUCAUUCAAAAUCUUAUCUGGUCCUACAGCAUAUUACAGACUUAGACUCACUCUUCUGUUUUAAUUGAUGUUACUGUGUAGCCGAAGAUUUUAAAAAAAGAUUUAUAGAUAUACACUUGAAAUUCUGCAGUCUUGAAAUACUACAAUAAAUUUUUCUUACUUAUGAAAAGCCAACAACAACAAAAAAGGCCAGGCCAGGCAUAAGACAGAGGGGAAGGGAAGAUGAGGAGGGAGGUUUGAGAGUCCCAUCAUUUUGCCUUGCUGAAACUGGGUUUCAGUAGAAAUAUUUGGCAAGAAUAGUGUGGAAAAGGAGGAUGGAGAAAGAGGUUACUCUGAUUUUAUGUAAUAAUUCAGUUUCAAAACAUACUGAUAUCAACCUCCAAAAAUAGUAGUUCACAUCUGCAAUACAAAUAGGCACACACGGUAAAGAUGGUUAAAAAGUAGAAUUUAAAAGGCUAUUUGUCCAUCUUCAGGACAUUUUGCAGGCGGCCCCACCCUCCCCACAUGUCCUGUAUUUACAUUUUACUCUUCAGAAAAGCCCCUUUUAAAAGAAUGCUAUUUCUUCCUCCAUUACUUAGGGUUUUUUUUGUUUUGUAUUGUUUUGUUUUGUUUUGUUUUUAGCAGCAAUUAUCUAGUGGGAGCAGUUAGCUACGCUUUAGGGGUGUAAGAAUAUAUGAAUGCACAUUAA
rnacentral:lncRNA from 10 species